GAUGAACGCUGGCGGCGUGCCUAAUACAUGCAAGUCGAGCGAACGGACGAGAAGCUUGCUUCUCUGAUGUUAGCGGCGGACGGGUGAGUAACACGUGGAUAACCUACCUAUAAGACUGGGAUAACUUCGGGAAACCGGAGCUAAUACCGGAUAAUAUUUUGAACCGCAUGGUUCAAAAGUAAAAUACGGUCUUGCUGUCACUUAUAGAUGGAUCCGCGCUGCAUUAGCUAGUUGGUAAGGUAACGGCUUACCAAGGCAACGAUGCAUAGCCGACCUGAGAGGGUGAUCGGCCACACUGGAACUGAGACACGGUCCAGACUACUACGGGAGGCAGCAGUAGGGAAUCUUCCGCAAUGGGCGAAAGCCUGACGGAGCAACGCCGCGUGAGUGAUGAAGGUCUUCGGAUCGUAAAACUCUGUUAUUAGGGAAGAACAUAUGUGUAAGUAACUGUGCACAUCUUGACGGUACCUAAUCAGAAAGCCACGGCUAACUACGUG
rnacentral:rRNA from 1 species